rnacentral:rRNA from 1 species
AUACGGAAGGUCCGGGCGUUAUCCGGAUUUAUUGGGUUUAAAGGGAGCGCAGGCGGAGAUGCAAGCGUGACGUCAAAUUUCGGGGCUCAACCCCGUCUCGCGUCGCGAACUGCGUCCCUUGGUUGCGGGAAGGGGAGGCGGCACUCGUGGUGUCGCGGUGAAAUGCAUAGAUAUCACGAAGAACUCCGAUCGCGAAGGCAGCCUUCCGGCCCGUCAACGACGCUCAUGCUCGAAGGUGCGGGCAUCAAACAGGAUUAGAUACCCUGGUAGUCCGCACAGUAAACGAUGGACACCCGCGGUUUGGCCUAUAUGGCUGAGCCGCCAAGCGAAAGCGUUAAGUGUCCCACCUGGGGAGUACGCCGGCAACGGUGAAACUCAAAUGAAUUGACGGGG